UAGGGAAUAUUGCACCAUGGGCGAAAGCCUGAUGCAGCAACGCCGCGUGAGUGAUGAAGGCCCUCGGGUCGUAAAACUCUUUUCAAGAGGAAGAGGAAGGACGGUACUCUUGGAAUAAGCCUUGGCUAACUACGUGCCAGCAGCCGCGGUAACACGUAGGAGGCGAGCGUUAUUCGGAUUUACUGGGCGUAAGGCGCGUGUAGGCGGCUUAUUAAGUUGGAUGUGAAAGCUCCUGGCUUAACUGGGAGAGGACGUUCAAAACUAGUAAGCUUGAGUACGAGAGAGGAAAAUGGAAUUCCGGGUGUAGUGGUGAAAUGCGUAGAUAUCCGGAGGAACACCAGUGGCGAAGGCGAUUUUCUGGCUCGAGACUGACGCUCAGACGCGAAAGCUAGGGUAGCAAACGAG
rnacentral:rRNA from 1 species